rfam:Oryza glumipatula chromosome 7, whole genome shotgun sequence.
UUUAAGUGUAAGUUUUCCUAUUCAACAUUUGAUGGUUUAUUUUGUUUAAAAUUUUUUUAUGAUUAGCAUUUUUAUUAUUGCUAGACGAUAAAAUAUAAAUAGUAUUUUAUACGUGAUUUAUUUUUAUAUUUUUUUAAAUAAACGGACUAUUAAAUAUUGGACACAAAAAUUUAUAACUGCGCUUAAC